GCUGCUCACGUCCUUAAACUCAACCUGUCCAAAACAGAACUUCUAGUUUUUCCUCCCUCAAGUGCUGCUACUCCUGCGUCUGUCUCCAUCCAAGUCAACGGCGCUACUAUCACCUCUACCUCCCAGGCUCGCUGCCUAGGGGUUUUUUGAUUCUGAUCUCUCUUUUACUCCCCAUGUCCAAUCGAUAGCCAAAUCCUGUCGCUUCCAACUCUAGAACAUAGCGCGCAUCCGCCCAUAUCUAACGCCGGACGCGGCUAAGGUACUGGUUCAUGCUGUUCUCUCUCGCCUUGACUAUUGCAAUUCCCUUCUCACCGGUCUUACAUGUUCCCAGCUUGCACCGCUGCAAUCUAUAAUGAAUGCGGCUGCGAGGCUUAUUUUCCUGUCC